rnacentral:rRNA from 1 species
UUCCGGUUGAUCCUGCCGGACCCGACUGCUAUCAGAGUGAGAUUAAGCCAUGCGAGUUAACGUAGCAAUACGUGGCGCACGGCUCAGUAACACGUAGUCAACAUGCCCAGAGGACGUGGAUAACCUCGGGAAACUGAGUCUAAACCGCGAUAAGUGAGGAUUUCUGGAAUGGUUCCUGACUAAAAUCUAUAUGGCCUCUGGAUUGGACUGCGGCCGAUCAGGCUGUUGGUGAGGUAAUGGCCCACCAAACCUGUAACCGGUACGGGCUCUGAGAGGAGGAGCCCGGAGAUGGGCACUGAGACAAGGGCCCAGGCCCUAUGGGGCGCAGCAGGCGCGAAACCUCUGCAAUAGGCGAAAGCCUGACAGGGUUACUCUGAGUGGCUUUCGCUAAGAAAGUCUUUUGGCACCUCUAAAAAGGGUGCAGAAUAAGGGGUGGGCAAGUCUGGUGUCAGCCGCCGCGGUAAUACCAGCACCCCGAGUGGUCGGGACGAUUAUUGGGCCUAAAGCAUCCGUAGCCGGUUCUGCAAGUCCCCCGUUAAAUCCAGCUGCUCAACAGAUGGGCCGCGGAGGAUACUACAGAGCUAGGAGGCAGGAGAGGCAAGCGGUACUCAGUGGGUAGGGGUAAAA